GUGGGGAAUAUUGGACAAUGGGCGAAAGCCUGAUCCAGCAACGCCGCGUGAGGGAUGACGGCCUUCGGGUUGUAAACCUCUUUCAGCAGGGACGAAGCGAAAGUGACGGUACCUGCAGAAGAAGGACCGGCCAACUACGUGCCAGCAGCCGCGGUAAUACGUAGGGUCCGAGCGUUGUCCGGAAUUAUUGGGCGUAAAGGGCUCGUAGGCGGUCUGUCGCGUCGGGAGUGAAAACUCAGGGCUCAACCCUGAGCGUGCUUCCGAUACGGGCAGACUAGAGGUAUGCAGGGGAGAACGGAAUUCCUGGUGUAGCGGUGGAAUGCGCAGAUAUCAGGAGGAACACCGGUGGCGAAGGCGGUUCUCUGGGCAUUACCUGACGCUGAGGAGCGAAAGCAUGGGGAGCGAACAGGAUUAGAUACCCCUGUAGUCC
rnacentral:rRNA from 1 species